CCCGCACAAGCGGUGGAGCAUGUUGGUUUAAUCGAUGAUACGCGAAGAACCUUACCGGGGUUUGACAUGCAGGUGAUCGCCGUUUGAAAGACGGGUUUUCCCUCUUCGGAGGCACCUGCACAGGUGCUGCAUGGCUGUCGUCAGCUCGUGUCGUGAGAUGUUGGGUUAAGUCCCGCAACGAGCGCAACCCUUAUCCCUAGUUGCCAUCAGGUAAAGCUGGGGAACUCUGGGGAGACUGCCGGUGAUAAACCGGAGGAAGGCGGGGAUGACGUCAAGUCCUCAUGGCCCUUACAUCCCGGGCUACACACGUGCUACAAUGGCAGGUACAGAGGGCUGCGAAGCCGCGAGGUGGAGCGAAUCCCAGAAAACCUGUCUCAGUCCGGAUUGAAGUCUGCAACUCGACUUCAUGAAGGCGGAAUCGCUAGUAACCGCGAAUCAGCAGGUCGCGGUGAAUACGUUCCCGGGCCUU
rnacentral:rRNA from 1 species